ensembl:snRNA U6 U6 spliceosomal RNA
GUGAGCCACCGCCCCCAAGCCACGUAUAUUAAAAUUGGAAUGUUACACAGAAGUUUAGCAUGGCCACCAUGCAAGGAUGACAGACACAUUUGUGAAGUGUUCCUUUUUUUU